rnacentral:rRNA from 1 species
AUUGAACGCUGGCGGCAGGCCUAACACAUGCAAGUCGAGCGGAUGAAGGGAGCUUGCUCCUGGAUUCAGCGGCGGACGGGUGAGUAAUGCCUAGGAAUCUGCCUGGUAGUGGGGGAUAACGUCCGGAAACGGGCGCUAAUACCGCAUACGUCCUGAGGGAGAAAGUGGGGGAUCUUCGGACCUCACGCUAUCUGAUGAGCCUAGGUCGGAUUAGCUAGUUGGUGGGGUAAAGGCCUGCCAAGGCGACGAUCCGUAACUGGUCUGAGAGGAUGAUCAGUCACACUGGAACUGAGACACGGUCCAGACUCCUACGGGAGGCAGCAGUGGGGAAUAUUGGACAAUGGGCGAAAGCCUGAUCCAGCCAUGCCGCGUGUGUGAAGAAGGUCUUCGGAUUGUAAAGCACUUUAAGUUGGGAGGAAGGGCAGUAAGUUAAUACCUUGCUGUUUUGACGUUACCAACAGAAUAAGCACCGGCUAACUUCGUG